UUGUGCUUGUGAGGCAGGCAGUGGAACCACUGAGCUAAAUCCCUGGCCCUCUAUUUUUUUUUUAAUAGAUCUGAUCACGUUAUAGAACAUUGCACAAUUUAAUUUUUGUUAUGUCUCUUGCUCUCCCACUCCCAGGAUGAACAAGGAUUUUUACCUUCUUUGCUUGUGAUGUACCCUAAGUGCCCUAAAGAAGGUGAUACCUUUCUACUCAGUCUUCAAGGAACUAGGAUGUCUUCAGCUGAUGCAGUCCUGCCCUGCAGUGUCACAGCAUCAUGGCACCAUUGAAGUCUCAGCUGUGACUGGAGGCAAAAAUGGAGUUGUCUCGACAUGCCAUAGCUAGCUUGUAGUCAGGAAAACUAUGCCUGAUCAUAAUUUAAUUGUGAAACGAUUUUUCCUCUAAAUUAUGUAGAAUUGCUCCUGACACAUGAGGAUGGGCCAUAAGCCAACAGGGCUGAGGUCUGCUUGAGGAGAUAAGAAUGCAGGCACUCACAGAGGGGUGACCAUGUAAGGCGCAGGCAGAAGGUGGCCAUCACCAAGCCUUUGAUGGGGUCACCGAGGAAGCAACCCGCUGACACCUUGACCUUUGACCCCCAGCCCCCAGAAUCACAAGAAAAUCGAUUUCUGUCAUUUAAGGCACCCAGUCUGUACUCCCUGGUUGUGGCAGCCUGAGCAGACUAACACAUCAUGUCUGUCUAGCUCUGUCUGAAGAGUUUUGUGUAAGUCACUUUGUUUGAUCCUAACCACAACCCCAAGAGACAGGUACUCAUUUCUGACAUGCAGAAACUGGGCUCUCGGAAGUGAUGGCAGAGGGCCUAGGGAAGGCUAGAUCUUGGGGUCCCCUAGCCCCAUGAGGGGCACUGUGGCUGCCUGACAUGCCAGCCCCCGCCUCUAUCUGUAGCUUGUGGAAAAUCAGACCUGUCCUCCAUCUGUCCCCCUCCCUCGCCCUUAAGCAAGCCCUAGCUGGACCCCUCUGUUCCCCAGGGACAAUGGUGUACCCUACACUUCUGUGCAAAUCCCGUGACAUGACAUGCUGCUUCGCAUUACCUGGGGGAACCAAUCUCUAAUUGCAGACACAGAGGCAAGGGGAAUAACAGAUGGAGUAAGACAUCUUUGGGUGGGAAGCAUUCCCUCAGCGUCCCUCAGAGCAUUCAGCACCCACGCACUGAGCUGCAGGCUGUGGGAGGCCCUUGGUUCUUCAGCUACCAUUGCCAGGCAAGACCACAGUAGUGGCUGAUAUCUACUGGGGCCCUACUAUGUGCCAGGCCCUGCCCCUCGUGCCUCCCACAGUUCUUUGUUUAGUGGUCUCCUCAGCCCUGCAGGAUGGUCAGUGAUAUCAUCACCAUUUUACAGAUGGGGAAACUGAGGCUUAGAGCGCUCCAGGGUGAGGCUGGGGUCCCGUCUCACUCUAGAGCUGGCUCUCUUAACCACCAACUGACUGGUUGCCCACCCCGCCCUGUGCUGCCCUAAGCUGUGGUUGGCAGGCCGGUUCCCCAAACCUGCUGGGCUGGGCAGAGAAUCAGGAAGGAAGCUCGGGGGUAAGAGGAUGGAAACUGCAAACCAGUGUGAUAAAGAUGUGAACUGUUGCUCCUGCCUGCCUUCCUCUUGCCACCCACGGCCUCUGCCUCAGAGCUGACAGUGCCCCCUGCAUUGGAGUCCUUCCCUGUGGGUCCGGCUGGGGCUCAUCAGCCAGUUUCUCUUCACGGCAUGGGGAGGGGCCAGUGCCACCAGCUCUGUCAUCCUUGGCGGUGCCCACUAGAGGAGGGACAGGCACUCUCCGGGGGCUGGGACUGCCCUCGCCCUCCAGAGAGGAUCAAGGGGAGCCUAGGGACAAACCCAAAGCCAGGGCCCGAGGGAGGUCGGUCGGGGCAGGAAGCUGCAGCGGCUCUUCCCUGCAGAGAGCUCUCAGGGGAUGGGCCUCACUCAUCCUUUGCAGUGACAGUGACAGUGACAGUGACAGCAUGGGGCCAUUUCCCUUAGUGCUGAGGGAGCCCGCGGACAGCUGUGCACGCUCUGCCUCUGGAGCCCUGCUGGGGCCCCUUUGCUCCCCGAGGCUGCAGGGUGGCUGUGUUUGCAGCUCGCAACCUUGGCGUCCUGUGUGCCCUCUGCGUGGGGUGAGCGGCAGGGGCUGGAGAGCUAAGUCUGCUCAGGGCCUGGCUCUGCUCUGGUCCCCGGGCUGCAGGCCGGAAGUUACUUGAUAGCGUGAAGGCGAUGGUGUGCCAACUGCCGGGACCCCGAGGCAGAGGCACCAGGGCGCUUGGUGGGAGCCUGGUGGGCAGGGCAAGGCUGCACAUGGCCACGCCUGCUUGCCCAGAACUGAGGAAGCAGCUGGGCCCCAGUUCCGGGUGCUCCACACAGAUGCCCACAUAGGCCACUGCUGACUGCACAUCCGGGGCCUCUCAAGCUGUGGUCCCAGGGGCCGGGCAGGGCCCCUGCUGAUGGAGGAAGGCCAUGGGUGGGGGACAUGGCUGAGCCUCCUGGUGAUGCUCUUGCCUCCUGACCAUGACUUCUCCUACUCGGGAGCUCUUGUUUAGAACUGUUGGCAGAACUGCCUUCCCUUCUGGUCCCCUCAUACCCUGCAGCCACCUAAGUGCUUCAUGUCUUCACUUAUUAGAUGCCUAUCAUUUUCCCACUUCCUAUUUUCUAGAUGACUCUCCAGUUCUACAAAUGAGAACCUGCUGUGUUCUGACAAGAUGCUUUUUGACUUCCCCAGAGAGCGGUGACACAUUCCUCUGGUCUCAGCAGGCAUCUCUGUCCUUACAGCUGAAAGAAAGGCCAGAAGGAAGGGUCUGGGGCUUGACAGGACUUGCCGGUACCAGCAUGGCUAUGUGCGGCUGCUGGGGUGUGGAAGAGCGGCAGAGAGAGGGGACCCAGGGAGCAGGUGGGCAGGGGAGUCCCAGGAUGGCAACAGAGGCUGGUGACGCUGGGGACGGCCAUGCCAGGGCAGGCAGAGGUGUGCUCAGUGGGAACCGGAGUGACAGUCAGGCUGAGGGGCUUCGGUUACCCGGCCUGUGGUGAGCGUCCCGGCACAUAGCUGGGACCCCCUGCACUCAGGCAGAAGGACACUGUUUGCUCCUCUUCAAGACUGUUCCAGGGGCCACAGGGAGCCUGGGAGGAAGCAGGAGGCCUGUGUCUGGGUCAGGGUGAGGCCAGAGACCGGACAGGAGGACAGGGCACCUUCUUCGGGAAGAGCCUGCAGAGGGUACUGGUGUUGCAAGGGUCUCGAGGCUGUGACCGAGGCAUGUGGCACAUGGAGGGGCUGUGAGUGGAAGAAGGAAAGGAUAUUUGGAUUAUCUCCCUAUUCUGUCCCCUCUGGACUGUGUGAGAUGCCUGCGCGCUCAGACGCAGUGGCUCCUGAGGGGACAGCUGCCCCAGGCUAGAGCAGAGGCUGUCUUUCCUCUGGAGAUGAGGGAUCCUGCCCUGAGCUAGGUCUGGAAGGCUCACUGGGCCUCAUUCCUGGGCAGGAGGUCAUGGGAGAGCAAGAGACGAUCUGGGAAGAGCCGCAGUAAAAAUAUCAACAGCUGAUGGUAAUGAGGUGCUGUGAUCGCACCUCCUGCACCUCAAGCAUAAGUGAGUUGCUUGGAUGGGUUGGCACAGGGCCCAGGCCCAGAGAGACACAGCGAAGAGCAGCUGUUAUUGUGGCUGAAGAGACCUGGCAAACUGGGAAUUGGGUAGCCAACUUCCCAAAAGGAGCCAAGCUGGGUGCCCUUUAACGCCACUUUGGCCCUUCCCUGACCCCUGGCAGGCUCACCCGUGUGGGCCCGUCUUCCUGGCCAGCCUUCGGCACCAGACGCUGUGCAUGGCUCCAUCUUCAAUGCUCCCAGACCCCACAGUGGGUUAAGAUGCACUGUUCUUUCAUGUCCACCUGGCCCUUUCUAAUAGGGGACAACCAGUGACAUUAGCACCGUCCUGUGGAACCAGCAGAGGGUCAGAGAUGUCAGGCUCCCUGGGACAUGGGAGUUCCAUGGAGGCCUCUGGGGAGGUGACAGCUGCCCUGCUUCCCUGCAGGCCAUGAAACAGUAAAUGAGAUGAGAAGAGCUCCGGAGAUGGAUGCUCAUGACGGCUGCCCACCACAGUCAAUGCAUCCAACACCCUGAAGUGUGUACUGAGAAGCAACUAAGACGGUGAAUUUUAUCUCAUGUGUAUUCUACCACCAUACAUUUGUUUUCUAAACAAAGUAAACUUCAGAAUACAGGUUCCAUGCUGACCUCAGUGGCACUCGAUUCCCGACCACCGCUCUCCUCCGGGACACACCCUGUCCUCUGUCUUCUGCUCCAUGUGUCCUGGCUUUGAAGCCCUCCGAAGUACAAAGGCUUCGUCUUCCUGAUCUCCUCUGCUCGGGCCACAGCAGUGCUGACCCAGCAAAGCCAAGGCUUUCACCUGCAAGGAAGAGCACUGCAGCCCGGGCCCCUCCCAGCCCCCCAGCCUUCCCGCCCGGAACAGGCAGGAUGCCUGUGUCUCCUGAUUCUGAGAUAGCUCCUGCUGUCAGUCUGCUUGAAUGAGCUCUUUUGUCCCUGAGAAUUUUCCCAUGUCGAACAUUUAGUCUGUUGUGUUAUGGGUCAGUGAGUGAGGAAAUAAGUCUGAAUUCUUAAACAACCUUGUGAACGUAAGACAUCUGUCUGAAAGGCAGUGCAACCAUAUCUGUCCAACUGUCCUCGGCUUUCAAGACCCUUUCUUAAAAAGCAGACCAGGGCCGGGGAUUUAGCUCAGUGCACCGUGCCUGCCUCGCAAGUGCAAGGUCCUGAGUUCAAUCCCUGAUAUCAAAAAAAACCCCACCCAAAAUAAAACAAACAAACAACAACAACAACAAUAACAAUAAAGCAGACCAUUAUUUGAUGUUUUAGAUCCUAAAGAAAUAUACUUUCUUUAAAAAGUUAAAAUAUUGCACAAAUAUUGGAAGAUGAAAGUCACCCUGUACAACCAGCAUCUAAAAUUGUUAACAGUUUUAUGUAGAUGGCUCAGACAUUUUUUCUCUGUACCCAGUAACAUAGAUAUAGUACUGCUAUUAUCAUCAGUAUUCUUACUAUCAUGUUACCAUAGAUAUUGUUUGGCAACUUGGUUUUUGACAUAUCUUGCACUUCUAUCAGUAUAAGAACCUUGUUCUUUUAUAUAGUUUUUUGUUUUUUGGGUUUUUUUGUACCGGGGAUCGAACUCGGGAUCUUGCUCUUGCAAGACAGGUGGCAGAACCAUUGAGCUAAAUCCCCGGCCCCAGAUCCUUGUUCUUUUAACAGUUGUAAAAUAUUCCGUUGUGUCUAUGGAUUAUCAUUUACGUAAUGAGCUUUCUUGUGAUAAGCAUUUGAAAUCCAACCUCCUCCUUCCAUUUUUUUCUUUCUAUAAACAUGACUGCAUAUGUUCAAACAUAUUUUUGUUUGCUUGUAAGCAUGUUUAUAUGAGUAUAGGAUACAUUUCUAGAUGCAGAAAUCCUAGGUCAAAGGCAUAUGUGUUUAAAAUUUAGGAGGCAUUACCAAGUUGGCAAGGCAAGCAUAAUUAUAGUUAGUUCAGUAUGUGGAUUCCUUGAAGGUUGAAAAUGCCCCUGAGCACCUAGAAGAGAGGCCAGAACCAGCAAUGAAUAGAAAUGGGGGUGGAUUUCAUAAGAGCGUUGGGGAACUGGCUGCAAGAUUUACUUGUGAGCACCAACCCAGGAGCCGACAGAGGCACAAACUGUUGGUCUGGAAAGGACAGGAGGCACCUGUCGAAUUCCAGGUGAGCUCGGGGCCUGAGUGGUAUAGAUGGCUCUGAGACUGUCAAGCACUCACUUGUCUUGUGAAAACAGCACCUUCCUCAAAAAAAUUCCUCUUCUUCCUCAACUCCAACCACAGGGCUUAUUGGGAGGUGCCUAUGCUAUUAUUUGGUAAUAAUCAAGGAUUUGUACAUAUAAUCUCUGGCUAUUAGAAGGCUUUGCUUGAAUUUUUGGGUGGGAAGUAAGGAACGAGAGGCCUUUUUCCAGGUGAGAGGGCUGGAAACGUGUGUAUUCAGAGUCUUCUUGGAUUCUGCAUAGUGGAGGAAGACAUUCGUAACUGGAGCUGACAUCGAAUAGAAGCUGAGACAAGAGGUGGAGAAAAUUUGAGAGCCCAGGUAGCAAUCGAGGCCUUGGUUCUUGCUGUCCUUCACGGUCAGGGGCACCUAGGGGGGAAAUAUGGGUUCCUUCCCAUAUUUUUGGUAUGGGUCAAAAGUUAAGUUUCACCUGUUUUUGAGUUUCAUAGAAAUGGAAUCACAUGGUUUGUACUUGUUCGUCCUGACUCAACAGUGGGUUAAAGACAGUCAUCCAUGUUGCACAUAUCCAUGCUUUUAUUUGUACUCUAAUUGCUCCCUAAUGUUCUGACUAUCUUGGGUGUGUGCCUAGUAGAAUCUUGGGCUGCAUGGUUACUCUGUUAACCUUGGAGGAACUGCCAAACUAUGUCACUGUUUUAAGCUACUAGCAGCAAAGUUUCAGGAUUCUAGUUGCUCCAUAUCCAUGGCAGUACUUGUUGUCUUAUCUUACUGACUGUAGUCAAAAUGGGGGUGUAGUUUUGAUUGGCAUUUCCCUCAUGACUAACGAUGUUGAGCAUCUUCUCACAUGCUUCUUGGCCUCUGGUCUAGCUUCUUCAGAGAACUGCUAUCCAAUUCCUUGGCCAACUUUUAAAUUGGGUUGUUUAAACUGGAUUGUUAAUAUUUAAUAUUUAAACUAACUAUCCUGGAUACAAGGCUCUAUCACAUACAAGCUGCAGAUGUAGUAUUUUCUCCCCCUUUGGGCUGACUUUUAAAAGGUCACUUUGGCUACCAGUGUGGCAGUAGACUGAGGGGAGGGGCAGAGCUGGAAGCCGGGAGAACAGCUGGGAGGCUCAGGCAAGAAUCCCAACACAAGAAGAGUGACCAUGGGCAAACUAAGUUCUGGCUCUCUAAGGAGCAGACAGAGCCUGAGGUCAGCUCGGAAAUCUGUGCUGUUCUGGCCCUGGCUCUGGCUUAGACCCUGGCUUCUCCUCACUCCUUGGCUCUGACCCAUUUUUAUUACCUCUAGUUUUACUCACACCUUGCUUACUUCAGUUUAUGUCCACACUUGAUUUUCCCUUCUGUUUCCUUAUAUGCUAAUUCCAUCUUGCCCAACAGUGGGCAGUUGUGUGAAAUGACGCACAUUCCCUUUUGUAAUGAGUCCAAACAUGAGAAAAAAGAGCCGGUAGAUGGAGAAAUGGGGGGCUGGUGGGGACUUCUGGCCUCCCCGGACUCACAGGAGCUGGGCCAGUGCCCUUCCCCCAGCUCUGAUUUAAAACCCAGUCCCUAGGUUCCCAGUUUCCUGUGAUGCUUUAGGAACCUGGUAAAUGACUCAGAAGUGGCAAGAUACAGCAGAGAGCUCCGGGAGAAAAUCUACAGACCCCUGACAACACAGACACCCUCUUCUUUUUCAGUCUGUGGGACAUCAGCUUCUGCAUCUUGAGCUUUGGGCAUGAGUCCAACCAUGGAUGACCCAUUCUCCACUAAGGGAGUUGAGAGUCAGGGUUGCUUUGGGUACUAAAAACAAACGGAUAGAAAUAAACUUCUAAAGGAAGUAUCAGGUAGAACAUCCAGGGUUGGCACUAGCAUCAAGUGGGACUGGCAUCUGGAACACAAAGUUGAAGGAGGUAUUCACUCACCUCCCCUUCCUUCCUUUACCGUCAUCCUUGGCCUUUAAAAAAAAAAAAUCACAAAAUGCGCAACGGCUGGGAUAAAUAUAAUGCAAGAUGAUCGAGAUUUCUACCGUGAAAACAUUAACCGUUACUGAGAGACUUUAAAGGAGACCAAAGUAAGUGAAGGUCUAUAAUAUGUACACUUUGACAUAAAGUGAAAAACUAAAUGUUUCUAAGAUGUCAAUUCUUCUUAAAUUAUCCUAUAGAUUCCUACUGGGUUACUUUGUAGUAAAUUGAGAACAUGAUUCUAAAAUCUAUUUGGAAAUUCAAAUGAUUUAGAACAGCUCAGGCAACCCUGGAUAAAUACAAAUUUAGAGGACUUAUAUAACCCUAUUGCAUGAUUUACUAUAAAACAAAAGUAAUUAAGAUAGUCUGAGAGUAAUGCAAGAAUAAAUGAAUAAAUGGAUGGAAUAGAAAAGAGACUCAAGAAAGUGUUUUCACGUUUAUGGUCACCUGGAUUUAUGGCAAAGAUUCCAUGGCAAAUCAGUGAGGAAAGGAUGCUUUUUUUUAGGUAAGAGAUGCUGAAUUGAUUGAACGUUCAUAUAGAAAAAAUUAACUUUGGUCUCGACCUUACCUAGGACACAAUACUUCAUUUGAGAUGGAUCAUAGUCCUACAUGUGAAAAUUAAAACCAUGGAAUCAUAGGAGAGAAAAGAUUUUCCCCCCUCACCUGUCACAAGGUUCACAGUGGACAGUCCUGUAGCAAAAGAUGGACUAACAAAAGAAAAGCAUACAAAUUUAUUGAGCUAAAAUUUUAUGUGUCAUGGAGGCUUUCAGAAAUGAAGACCCACAGAUCCAGGGAAAAUUGGAUUUUUAUGCUUGGAUUUAAUGAUGGAAGGAGAGUUGCAUAGAAGUAUAGUUAGGUGGAAAGGAAGUGUGACCCAAUGGUAGUAAGUUGAAGGAAUUUAGCAAGGCCUGUUUGUUCAGAUUCUUUUUGGCUUUCAGGCAUAGGGCAGGACACCUGUCACAUGAGGGUUCUAUGACCCACUGUUUUGGAAGGUAAGAAAAUUUCCCUAUGCCCAUGUUUCAGGAAUUUCUCAAUUUGUUUGCUCAGUAUACCAAGGUGCCAUAGUUUGGAUAGAUUUUCCUGCAGUCUGUCAGAAUUACAUCUUGAUGGAUAAUGGUGGUUACACCACUGUAUGGACUUGUUAGACAUUUGUCCACUUACUGACAAUUCAUUCGGGUAUAUGUUUAUCUUUUAUGCUCUUUCAAUUUAUGAAU